rnacentral:lncRNA from 1 species
CACCAAUAACUUUCUUUAAUAGUCCGAUACAUCUUGGUGCUUUCGGGAUGUAAAGCAUAGGCGGAAGAAUGAGCUUCCUCCAAAAUAGCUCGUCUCAACUGAUCAUCCUUAGGGACACAAAUUCGGUCUCUAAGCAUCAAAGAACCAUCAUCGCUGAGUCUAAACUCACUAGUUUCUCCAUCUUGCAGCUUUUGAACUUCC